UAAGUACUCCCUCCGUUCGGAAUUACUUGUCUCAAAAAUGGAUGUAUCUAGAACUAAAAUACGUCUAGAUACAUCCAUUUCCGUGACAAGUAAUUCCAAACAGAGGGAGUAGGAA
rnacentral:pre_miRNA from 1 species